GAUGAACGCUGGCGGCGUGCCUAAUACAUGCAAGUCGAGCGAACGGACGAGAAGCUUGCUUUUCUGAUGUUAGCGGCGGACGGGUGAGUAACACGUGGAUAACCUACCUAUAAGACUGGGAUAACUUCGGGAAACCGGAGCUAAUACCGGAUAAUAUUUUGAACCGCAUGGUUCAAAAGUGAAAGACGGUCUUGCUGUCACUUAUAGAUGGAUCCGCGCUGCAUUAGCUAGUUGGUAAGGUAACGGCUUACCAAGGCAACGAUGCAUAGCCGACCUGAGAGGGGGAUCGGCCACACUGGAACUGAGACACGGCCCAGCCUCCUACGGGAGGAAGCAGUAGGGAAUCUUCCGGAAUGGGCGAAGGCCUGACGGAGCAACGCCGCGUGGGGAAGGAAGGUCUUCGGAUCGUAAAACUCUGUUAUUGGGGAAGAACAUAUGUGUAAGUAACUGUGCACAUCUUGACGGUACCUAAUCAGAAAGCCACGGCUAACUACGUG
rnacentral:rRNA from 1 species